AUGUGGUUGCUGGGAAUUGAACUUAGAA
rnacentral:piRNA from 1 species